GAUGAACGCUGGCGGCGUGCCUAACACAUGCAAGUCGAGCGAGGGUUUGCUCAGUAUUGAGUAUUCUAAGACUAGAAUGUUCAAUUCUGAGCAAAACCAAGCGGCGGACGGGUGAGUAACGCGUGGGUAACCUGCCCUAUACACAUGGAUAACAUACUGAAAAGUUUACUAAUACAUGAUAAUAUAUAUUUGUGGCAUCGCAGAUAUAUCAAAGUGUUAGCGGUAUAGGAUGGACCCGCGUCUGAUUAGCUAGUUGGUGAGAUAACUGCCCACCAAGGCGACGAUCAGUAGCCGACCUGAGAGGGUGAUCGGCCACAUUGGAACUGAGACACGGUCCAAACUCCUACGGGAGGCAGCAGUGGGGAAUAUUGCACAAUGGGCGAAAGCCUGAUGCAGCAACGCCGCGUGAACGAUGAAGGUCUUCGGAUCGUAAAGUUCUGUUGCAGGGGAAGAUAAUGACGGUACCCUGUGAGGAAGCCCCGGCUAACUACGUGCCAGCAGCCGCGGUAAUACGUAGGGGGCUAGCGUUAUCCGGAUUUACUGGGCGUAAAGGGUGCGUAGGUGGUCCUUCAAGUCGGUGGUUAAAGGCUACGGCUCAACCGUAGUAAGCCGCCGAAACUGGAGGGACUUGAGUGCAGGAGAUGAAAGUGGGAAUUCCCAGUGUAGCGUUGAAAUGCGUAGAUAUUGGGGAGGUAUAUCUGUAUCGAAGGCUGUUUUCUGGACUCUCACUGAUCCUGAGGCAACCAAAGUAUCGUAACACGUAGU
rnacentral:rRNA from 1 species